rnacentral:lncRNA from 1 species
AUGCAAUGGAGCAGGGCAGAAAGUGCCACUAACUUCAGGAAACUCUUGCUUUCUGACGGUCUUCAGGGAUUUUCACCAUAUUGCUGGCAACACAAAGUGGUAAGUUGUUUUGGCACAGCUCAGUUAUUACUGCGUAAUUCAAGCAAUGUUUGCAACUCUUGUUUAAUGUCCACAAAUUUCUUGAGGGGUAGGCACAAAAUGUCAAGGUUUCUUGUCUGCAUGAUUCAUUUUUCACAUACCUGUCUUGCUGUUCUUCUAAGGUGCUGGAUAUGGGCAUUAUGCCAUUAUAUCACAUUACUGUGGGGAAAGAUAGACAGAAAAAAUUGUGGCUUGCCCAGGGUUACACAUGGGAGCAUAAUUUCUGAAUUAAGUCAUUAUAUAUUGCUGCUCUGCCAUUGCUAAUGAUAUUCAUAUUGUGAUGCACAUAUUUGUUUAACCAGAAUUGCUAAACAAAUGGGCAUUUUAGCUACUGUACAGAUUUAAUCUCAUUCAAUAUGUUGAUUUGAAGCCAUUUCCCCCUCCCACUACAUCUUGCUUGUAGAGCAGUUAUAAUGUGUGCCUGAUUUAUCCUAAUCAGCCAGGUUUUUGUAAAUUUCCUUUCUCUGCUCUUGACUAGUUGAAAUCCAUACUAGCCCUAUUUGGUUCAUCACAGACCAAUUUUAUAUCAAAAACUGGUAAGUCUAUGUGAGAAAGUAGCACUGGACUACGUCAGACCCAUGAAUGUGACACACUCUGGCCCACAGAUGGGUUUUGAUUCUGUGUAUAGCCUCCUGUCGCUUGCAGGAGAGUUGUAGAUAACACCCAAGGGAAGUAAAGGUGGGAAAGGUCCAAAACUGCAUAUGGGAGACAAUGAUCAAGGCGGGAAAUCUGGAGAAAGUGAAAAAGAACCAAUCAUAGAGGGAGAAGAGCAAGACAUCAUAGUGGAAGAGGAGAUAAGAGAGGGGAUAGACUGGGUUGAGGUGGUAGAGGAUACAGGAACAGGAGGAAUGGUCCUGGAGGAGGGAGGAGAAGGAUCUACCAGUAGGAUGAAGAUGGAUCAGUUUAGAAGACCCCUGCACUAAGGAGGUAGCUCACAUGAAGCUACCUCGAGAGGAGAUAAGGUAUGCAAGCCCAUGCCAAAGCCUUCAUACUGGGGGGGGGGGAGAAAGACGUGAACAGCAGAGAAGAGGUGAGGGUCCAGCUAUCUGACCUAGAAGGGGUAGAAUGGAUGGUUAUGGUAUACUACAAGAGAGAGGGUCACUUGAGGAACUCCCACCCACCAAGUCAGUUCUAGAGAAGCCAGCCAAAGGGGAGUGGGCUUGCUGCCCUUGUGGAAUUCUGUGUGCCAGUCACAGUACAGCUCUAUACAAACCCACCAAUUAGGAGAGGUUUCAUGGGUACCCAUGAAAUUGGAGGAAGAAGUAUGGCUAUGUCCUCUGAAGUUAGAAGACCCCAUUGGUCCUAUUUAUUUAUUUAUUUAUGUAUUUAUUUAUUUGAUUUAUAUCCCGCCCAUCUAGUAUAAUUAUACCACUCUGAGCAGCUUCCUACUGGUCCACUUCCUACUGAAGUUAUUGUUGCUGAACCUAUGUUAUUGUAAAAAAAAAAUAAUCAUGAAUUUUCCAGUGGAAUAAUUCUUUAGAGAGGAAGGGAAUCGGGAGCUGAGGGACUGAAGACAGAACUCAUCAACAGUCUAGUCUUUUUUCUUUAUUUCUUUCAUUGGUACAUUGCCUUUCUCAUUUGCAGAAUACAAGGUUGCUUACAAGAUGAAUUAAAAAACAAAUAAAAAGGUAACCUAAAGAUAUGCA